rnacentral:misc_RNA from 1 species
AAGUCGUAACAAGGUUUCCGUAGGUGAACCUGCGGAAGGAUCAUUAACGAAUUGAGAGGCCGAAAGGUCUUGAAUUCCACACCAAUGUUUUAAGCGUUUUUGAUUUGUCUUGGGGAGCGAAAGAAAUUUUGCUUUUUAGGCUGUCAAAACGUGAAACCUCAAUUCAUACUUCAUAUGUAUGAAUGUAUAUAUAUAUAUAUACAAAAAAACAAAAAUUAAAACUUUCAACAACGGAUCUCUUGGUUCUG